AUCAAUCCCAUGGGUUUUCUGACCUGUGUGGACUUGGAACUGGGCGUCUGCCUUCUAAGGCUCGCCUCAAAUGACUCAGUGGGAUCUCUGACCUACGCCUGACGUGAUAAGUUUCGUCUCGGCCGGUCUAGAGCCCUGCUCACAACGCCCCAUUUUUUGACAUUGACCUCAAAUCAGGUAGGGCUACCCGCUGAACUUAA
rnacentral:misc_RNA from 1 species